rnacentral:rRNA from 1 species
UGGGGGAUAUUGCACAAUGGGCGAAAGCCUGAUGCAGCGACGCCGCGUGGGGGAUGAAGGCCUUCGGGUUGUAAACUUCUUUUGCUCUGAACAAGGCAUGCUAAUGGGUGUGUUGAGUGUAGGGGUUGAUUAGCGCCGGCUGACUACGUGCCAGCAGCCGCGGUAAUACGUAGGGCGCGAGCGUUGUCCGGAAUUAUUGGGCGUAAAGGGCUUGUAGGUGGCUGGUUGCGUCUGUCGUGAAAGCUCAUGGCUUAACUGUGGGUUUGCGGUGGGUACGGGCUGGCUUGAGUGCAGUAGGGGAGGCUGGAAUUCCUGGUGUAGCGGUGGAAUGCGCAGAUAUCAGGAGGAAUACCGGUGGCGAAGGCGGGUCUCUGGGCUGUUACUGACACUGAGGAGCGAAAGCAUGGGGAGCGAACAGG